GGAGAGUCUGAAGUGGCUGGACACAAGCCUACCCACAUCUGAAGGCCCCUUCUCUCACCUAAGGGAAGGAGCUACUGAACCAGGGCUCAAAGCUUUUAAAAAGAAGAGAGAGAUCAAAACCACAAAACAUUUACCUGACAAGUCAGAAUGGUCUCAGCAAUUUAAGUGCCUUGGGUCCUAUACCCUGCUACUAUUGAUAUCAAUGAGAAUUCUGCAUGGGGAAGGGAGUAGAACAUGCAUUGGAAAUGUCCUUUAAAAGGCUCAGGAGGGCAACUUCAUGAAUAUUCACGAGCUGUUAUUAGGGCAAAUUGUCCAGUAUUUUCUGCUCCCUUGCUGAUUUAUCUACCCAAGAAGAUAGGAAUUUUUGCAAAAGAAAUCUGAGUCAAGACAGCACCAUGAUGAAUGCUGAUUAACAUUUAUGAAGUCUUUGAACAUGAACAAAAGUGGAUCAUGCAGCUUAUUUUGAGAAGUUGGCAAAGGAGGCAGAAAAGGGAACAAGAUGUAGUAAGUUACAGCCGACAUUCAAAGCUAUUUAAUAACUUUGACCCAAAAUUGAAGCUUGUGAGGGG